AGAGGGUCUUUUCUACAGGAUCUCCUUUGUUGUCAAUGACAAGGAGGCCAAACUAACGGAGUCUGAUGUUGAGAAAACUGUUGCACAAUGGCUCAAUCAAACAUUCCAAAACUGGACACAUGUGGUCUAUGUCGAUCAUUUCAGUAUCCAGCCUAACAGUGACUCACAGCUUAAGAGGAGUGCCAG